rnacentral:rRNA from 1 species
GAUGAACGCUAGCUACAGGCUUAACACAUGCAAGUCGCGGGGCAGCAUUUCUUUAGCUUGCUAAGGAAGAUGGCGACCGGCGCACGGGUGAGUAACGCGUAUCCAACCUGCCCUUGUCCACGGGAUAACCCGGUGAAAAACCGGCCUAAUACCGUAUGAGGUCACAAGCGGACAUCCAACUGUGACGAAAGGUUUAGCGGACAAGGAUGGGGAUGCGUCCGAUUAGCUUGACGGCGGGGUAACGGCCCACCGUGGCUACGAUCGGUAGGGGUUCUGAGAGGAAGGUCCCCCACAUUGGAACUGAGACACGGUCCAAACUCCUACGGGAGGCAGCAGUGAGGAAUAUUGGUCAAUGGGCGAGAGCCUGAACCAGCCAAGUAGCGUGCAGGAUGACGGCCCUAUGGGUUGUAAACUGCUUUUGUGCGGGGAUAAAGUGUGGGACGUGUCCCAUAUUGCAGGUACCGCAUGAAUAAGGACCGGCUAAUUCCGUG